AUUAGCUAGUUGGUAGGGUAAAGGCCUACCAAGGCGACGAUCUAUAGCUGGUCUGAGAGGACGAUCAGCCACACUGGGACUGAGACACGGCCCAGACUCCUACGGGAGGCAGCAGUGGGGAAUAUUGGACAAUGGGCGCAAGCCUGAUCCAGCAAUACCGCGUGUGUGAAGAAGGCCCUAGGGUUGUGAACGGCUAACUCCGUGCCAGCAGCCGCGGUAAUACGGAGGGUGCGAGCGUUAAUCGGAAUUACUGGGCGUAAAGCGUGCGUAGGCGGCUCGUUAAGUCAGAUGUGAAAGCCCUGGGCUCAACCUGGGAACUGCAUUUGAAACUGGCGAGCUAGAGUUGAGUAGAGGGGAGUGGAAUUUCAGGUGUAGCGGUGAAAUGCGUAGAUAUCUGAAGGAACACCAGUGGCGAAGGCGACUCCCUGGACUCAAACUGACGCUGAGGUACGAAAGCGUGGGUAGCAAACAGGAUUAGAUACCCUGGUAGUCCACGCUGUAAACAGCUAACGCAUUAAGUUGACCGCCUGGGGAGUACGGCCGCAAG
rnacentral:rRNA from 1 species